AUAUAUGCUGACUUGGUUUUUGCUCCCAAGUGUUAUCACCAGACUGCAACCUCUCAACCUCCUUACUCUAACCAUGGCAAUCAAGAGGACAUGGCAACUUUGGUUGCUCUCUCUUCUCACACAUGCCAUCCUAUUGUUCACAGCCAGCUCUCAGUCCAUCAAUGGAGAUGACCUCUCAGCACUCCUGUCAUUCAAAUCCCUCAUAAGGAACGACCCAAGAGAGGUGCUGUCCUCGUGGGACACCAGCAGCAACACUACCAACAUGACAGCACCUGUCUUCUGCCGAUGGACCGGCAUUUCCUGCAACGAUCGCCGGCAUCCAGGUCGUGUUACCACCCUCAAUCUGAGCGAUGCCGGCCUAGUCGGCACCAUAUCCCAGCAGCUUGGAAACCUGACCCACCUCCGUGUCCUUGAUCUGUCAACCAACAGUCUUGAUGGAGAUAUCCCAAUCAGCCUUGGCGGUUGCCCAAAGCUUCAUGCCAUGAACUUGAGCAUGAACCAUCUGUCAGGUAACAUCCCUGCUGAUCUUGGACAGUUAUCAAAGCUUGUGGUUUUCAGUGUCGGCCACAACAAUCUUACCGGUGAUAUUCCCCAAGUCACUCUCCAACGUCAAGAGGAACUUCAUCCAUGGCCAAGAUUUGAGUUGGAUGGGCAACCUCACAUCAUUGAGAGACUUUAUUCUUGAAGGCAACAUUUUCACUGGUAACAUCCCUGAAACUUUUGGUAAGAUACUUAACCUUACUUACUUCAGUGUCCAAAAUAAUCAAUUGGAAGGCCAUGUUCCUCUAUCAAUCUUCAAUAUUUCUUCCAUAAGAAUCUUGGAUCUUGGCUUCAAUAGACUGUCAGGAUCACAUCCACUCGAUAUCGGCAUUAAACUUCCUAGGAUAAGUCGUUUUAACACAAUUAAUAACCGUUUCGAGGGUAUAAUACCACCCACCUUGUCAAAUGCAUCUGCACUUGAAGUAUUGCUUCUUCAUGGAAACAACUACCAUGGCAUUAUUCCUAGGGAAAUUGGCAUCCAUGGUAACCUGAAGGUAUUUGUGUUAGGAUACAACGCGCUCCAAGCCACACGAUCUAGUGAUUGGGAAUUUAUGACAUCACUGACCAACUGUAGCAGCUUAACAAGGCUAGAUGUUGCACACAAAAACCUCGUUGGUGAAAUGCCAAUUAACAUUGCCAACCUGAGCAAAGAGCUCAUAGGGAUUUACCUAAGUGAAAACCAAAUAACUGGGACCAUACCUGAAGAUUUAUGGAAGCUCAAUAAACUUACUUCUCUCAACCUGUCCUGCAACCUCUUCACAGGAACCUUACCUCCUGAUAUUGGCCGCCUUCCAAUAAUCAAUUCUAUCUUUAUGUCACAUAAUAGAAUCACUGGGCAGAUUCCACAACCAUUAGGCAAUAUCUCACAGUUGAUCUUUCUAUCUCUGUCUAAUAAUCUUCUGGAUGGCAGCAUUCCAAUUAGCCUUGGGAACCUCACAAAACUUAAUCUCUUGGAUCUUUCCAGUAAUGCCUUGAUGGGCCAAAUCCCACAAGAGAUACUUACAAUACCUUCCCUUACCUUACUUCUCAGCCUCUCCAACAAUGCUCUAAGUGGCUCCAUUCCAACACAGAUUGGGCACUUGAACAACCUCAUCAAAAUGGACCUCUCAAUGAAUAAGCUAUCUGGUGAAAUCCCAAAAGCUAUUGGCAGCUGUGUCCAAUUGAGUUUCCUAAAUUUUUAUAGAAACCUUCUCCAAGGACAAAUCCCAGAAAGCCUGAACAAUUUGAGGAGCCUUGAAACCCUUGAUCUGUCUAACAACAACUUGGCAGGUCCUGUACCUUUAUUUCUUGCAAACUUCACGCUCCUAACUAAUCUAAACCUCUCCUUCAACAAACUGUCAGGUCCUGUUCCAAAUAUAGGGAUUUUUUGUAAUGCCACUAUAGUGUCAAUCUCAGGUAAUAGAAUGCUAUGAGGUGGCCCUCCAUACUUGCAGUUCCCUUCAUGCUCAUCUGAAGAUUCUAACCAUGCUUCAGUGCAUCGACUACAUGUCUUAAUCUUUUGCAUUGCUGGAACGUUGAUUUUCUCUUUGUUUUGUAUGACUGCAUAUUGCUUCAUUAAGACAAGGAUGAAACCUAACAUCGUUGAUAAUGAAAACCCAUUUCUUUAUGAGACGAAUGAGAGGAUAUCUUAUGCCGAACUACAAGCAGCAACCGAGUCAUUCUCACCGGCAAAUUUGAUUGGUUCUGGAAGCUUCGGCAAUGUAUACAUUGGAAAUCUAAUUAUUGAUCAGAAUCUAGUGCCUGUUGCAAUCAAAGUUCUUAAUCUUGACCAAAGAGGAGCCAGCAGAAGUUUCCUGAGCGAGUGUGAUGCUCUUAGGAGAAUUCGACACCGGAAACUUGUCAAGGUGAUCACUGUCUGCAGUGGCUUAGACCAAAAUGGUGAUGAAUUCAAGGCACUUGUCCUAGAAUUCAUUUGCAAUGGAAGUUUGGAUGAGUGGCUGCAUGCAACAAGUACAACAACCAGCACAAGCUACAGAAAGCUAAAUAUGGUGGAAAGGCUGCAUAUUGCUGUUGAUGUUGCAGAGGCAUUGGAAUAUCUUCACCAUCAUAUUGUGCCGCCGAUAGUUCACUGUGAUAUUAAACCAGGCAACAUUCUUCUAGAUGACGACAUGGUGGCACAUGUUACCGACUUUGGUCUAGCAAAGAUAAUGCAUUCUGAACCACGCAUACAAAGCAGCUCAUUAGUAAUUAAAGGAACAAUUGGAUAUGUCCCACCAGAAUAUGGAGCGGGAUCUCAAGUAUCCAUGGAUGGUGACAUAUAUAGCUACGGGGUGUUGUUACUGGAAAUAUUUACUGGAAGAAGACCAACUGACAAUUUUAUCAAUGGUAUAACAAGUCUUGUUGACUAUGUUAAGAUGGCCUAUCCUAACAAUCUACUGGAAAUAUUGGAUGCUAGCGCAACCUACAAUGGAAACACUCAAGAAUUGGUAGAACUAGUUAUUUAUCCUAUAUUUCGACUUGGUCUAGGAUGCUGCAAGGAAUCACCAAGGGAAAGAAUGAAGAUGGAUGAUGUAGUCAAAGAAUUGAUUGCUAUAAAGAAGGCAUGCACAGCUAUGCCUAAAUGAAAUUCGAGCAACCAAGUAAUCUGGGUAAGCAAUUAUAUGUAACUAAAUUUGGUUAUGUCUGCUCAAAAAGUUGUCACAGAAGUAUGCUUUUGGUGUAUCUGAAGUCCAUUAUAUUGUUGUCACUACUGUUUAUUUCAUUUUCAUCUUGUAUUUCUUUGUAUCCCUUUUGUUUCUGUAUUUUGGGGGUGCUAUCUAUAUAUGGUUUUAAAGAGUAAACUCCAUGAAUUUGAGCCACUGUUUAACGUA